AUUGGGGAAGACGCGGUAGAACUGGUAGUUGAUCUUGUACUUGGAGCGGAGCCUGGUGCCCAGGGCCAGGCACUGCUCCUUCCUGGCCAGCUUCAGCAGGUUGGGGCCCUCGCGCAUGAUGGCGGCGCCGCCCGUGGGCAUCUCGAACACCUGCUCCUUGGGCGACGUCCAUGUGAUGACGUAGAACUCCUCCACCUGCGCCUUCCGGAGGAGUCCCCCCGUGCUCCCGCCGAAGAUCGGGGACGGCGUGUUGGGGUCCAGCUGCGGCGGCACGAACCCCGCGGGGGCUGGCUUCUUCUCCUCCGUCGCCGCCGCGGCGGGCUGAUCCUCCGCCGCCGCUCUGAGGGAGGUGGGUGCCCUCGAGGUGGGCAUGGAGAGGGUGGAUGAGCGCGGCUUCGCCGGUGCCCAGGCGGCGAGGAGGUGGCACUUGGCGGCGGAGGCUUGCGUGGCCAUGGCCAUGGUGGUCGGAGGAGGAGAGAGGAGGGUACCGUGUGGUGGAUUCGAUUCGAGUGGUGUGGUGUGGAGGAGAGAGAUAUCGGAGAUGGAGUAAGAAGAAGAGAGGGGAAAUGGGUGAGGAAGUGGAUAAGGGGAUAUGAGGUUGGCCAAUGGCGGGUAGGGAUUUUGAUACGCGGCCUCCACACAUGCAUGUCACCGUGGCACUGGCCCCUCCCUCCCUAUCUGAUGUGGCAUCUGUCAGUGUGUCGUUCUUCGGCGCUAUACCCUCGUGGAUGGCAGCCACAAACCCAUGCAGCGCUCCAUCUGCAGCCUCACUGACGCCACGGCUAGUAGAGGAGAUCUACAAGGUGGCAGAGAGGAGCUCCAUGGCUCAUGGCAUGGCUAUCGAACAACAAGGUUGGAGGAAGAAAACUAGAAAAGUGGCUGCCUGGUUGGUGUUAGGGCACCCACAAUGUUAUAAAAUACCAGAUAGUAAGCAUUAAAUGGCUUCUUACUACCUGGUAUUAGCUAUUGUGGAAGUGGUACAUAGUUAAAGCCAGCAAGUAGCACUACUGCCGGUAAAAAGGGAAUAAAAAAAUAGAAUGUGUACAGUGGAGUUCUGACAACAAAUUUUAAAUUGCAAGUAGCCAUUGCUGCUUCCAACCGUUGCUCUCCUCCCUAGCCAACCGUUGCAUGGACUGUUCUUCUUAUCAUCUUCAUCCCCUACAAAAAUAGAGAUGGCUCAGGAUUUCUUUAAAUCAACACAAACACAUUUUGUGAAACUUAGCUAGCUGAGAGCCUGAGAUGGAUCCCUCCAAGAGAGGUUUCAUGAACUUGUUAAAACAAGGCUCCCCAAGCCAACAUUCUAGCCAAAACUCCCCUCCUACUUAAUUCCCCUCAACUUUCUCCCAAUCACAAUUUCCCCGAUCCCCACAUUUUACCCAAGCCUCACCACCUAAUUUCCAAACCUUCAACCCUUUUGGUCCUCCAGCCAACUAUCACCUAUAUGGUAGUUCUCCUCCAAACUUUCAAGGUUUUCAGUAGCAAGCAAGCUGGUUACAAUAUGCACCAAUAAGCUUUCAAGGUUUUCAUCCUAAAGAAAGUUGGAUGCACUCACCAUAUCAAGUUGUCGGGUCCGCCUCAUCUCAUGGAUCCAAAUCAGCCUCUCAGUGCCCUGCAAGACAGGAAGAUAACAAUUUGGUUAACAUCGAAAAGUCAAGUGACAAUAGCCAAGAGACAGGGAGAAGAGGGACACGCGUCAAACUGGACCGAAGAAGAAAACUUACGACUCCUCAGCUCUUGGUUGAAUAACUCACUAGAUUCUAUAAAUGGCAAUGACAAGAAGGGAGAAUACUAUUGGAGGGAUGUUGCUGCAGAGUUCAAUGGUAAUACAUCUAGCAAUAACCGCAAAAGGACAGUCGUGCAAUGUAAGACACAUUGGGGUGGUGUUAAGAAGGACAUUGCAAAAUUUUGUGGAGCUUAUUCUCGAGCUAGAAGAACCUGGAGCAGUGGAUUCUCUGAUGAUAUGAUCAUGGAGAAAGCCCAUGCAUUAUAUAAAUCAGAAAACAAUGAUAAAACUUUCACAUUAGAGUAUAUGUGGAGAGAAUUAAAGGAUCAACCAAAAUGGCGACGGAUACUUGAAGAGGACAGCAAGAACAAGAGGACUAAGAUUUCUGAAUCUGGUGCAUAUACAUCAUCAUCCAACCAAGAAACUGAGGAGGAGACCAGCCGAAAAGAGAAGCGUCCUGAAGGGCAGAAAAAAGCCAAAGUCAAGCUUAAAGGGAAAGGAAAAAAACAUGCACCGUCUCCUUUGGGGGACCAGCCAUCUCAAGAUUUUGUUCUCCUCAACGAAGCUGUAAAAUUGAGAGCAGAAGCAGUGCUGAAAUCUACAGAAGCAACCACCAAAUCAGCGGAAGCAAAGAAGGAACAAACUAGGAUGGAGAAGUAUCAGACAUAUUUAAAGUUGUUGGACAAAGACACUGCUAAUUUUAAUGAUGUAAAACUCAAGAGGCAUGAAGCUAUCCUCGAAAAGCUAGCUACAGAACUUGCAGAAGAAUAGAAGAUCCCUAAGUUAUGUUUGUACCCCUAGUACUUAGUGUGUCACUGUUUCAUUAAGUUUAACUUGCUAGUAAUAUUUAGACUUGUGAUAGGUUUGUAGGGCAAGUAAUUGUUGUACUGUGAACUCAGUGAAUGAUGAAUGUAAUAUUUCACUAGUGAGAAGGCAUAUGAAGUCCUGCUUAACAUCAUUGCAGGUCCAAAAAUCUUGCCUUUAGGUUCAUGAGCGUGCCAGUUGAUUUGAUCAUGCAAUCAACAAGAAAUAAAGACAGGAAAAUAGCGGUUAAAUCUAUAAACAAUAGCCGAUCGGCUAGUCGCCGAUCACGUAUCACUUAUCUUUGAGCCGAUGUCAUAUUUGAGUCAAUCGGCAGUCAUAAAUAGGCAAGAAAGAACUAAAUAUAUUCGAUUGGCUGAAGAUAUUAAUGAUAUAUAAUACUUCCGUCGAUAUAUACUUAAAUCAAGUGAUUGGGAUAGAUCGGUCGUCAUGCCGAGACAAUAUAAAUCACUUAGGUCGAAAUAUAUAUUAACAAGGAGAUUAUAAGCAUUCAUAGCAUAGCCGAUCAGAUAGAUCCAGCAUGUAUCGGCUAAUACUCCGAUACUACUUUAUAUUAAGAUAUUAAAGCAAGCAAAAAUAUAUCAAACAGGAAGCUUAAUAUACCUAAAUGCGACAAGAUCUUAACAUAAAGGACGGAUUUAACAUGUCAAUCAAGCAUAUAAAAUAUAAAGUAGUUAAAUCAGGUAAGAUCGGUUGAAACUCCGAUGCUACCCUAAUCGGCAACCAAAAAGCAGGCUAGAGAUUAAGAUUCUAAUCACGACUUAUAAGGUCAAACUCAACUGAUGCAGCUAUAAGUUUGAAAAGAAGGACAAUAUCUUGACAAUCAAGCAUUUGAAUGUUUCAUAGGGUGGUGGAUAUCCUAUAUAAUCUAAGUCAACAUUGAUAUUUAACCUAAUCGACUGCCUUCCAAUGAUAAAUGUUGGCUGAUUGAAGGUUAAAUAACAAUAUUGUCAAAGAUUAUGUAAGAUAUAUGAUAACUCGACGAAUUACAUAAACAAGAUUAGAGUAUCAUAAAGAUGGAAGCACUAAUCCCGAGAACACAAGCCGCCAUAACAAGUUUUACCUCUAGUUGAACAUCGAAACCGAUGCAGCUCAACCCGAAAGCAAGAACUCGUCGAAAGUAAACGAAAGUAAAAGGGUGGCGAUGCGCUGAGAUUGUAUUGAACGUGUGUUAAUUGAUUACAUGGAUUUGGGUCAUAUUUAUACCCGAGAUACAAAAUAUGUCUUUGCUGGACACGACACUUAUCUCUAACAAACUCUAAGAUACCAUAAGUCUUUGCGGCAGACUUUUGUCCAAACAUAUCUCUAAGGAAAUUACAUAAGAUAUCCUAAUUAAUAGAUACAAUUGCCUAAACCGAAAGCUUUAUCUCCAUCAUGGCAAUCCCUGUGAAGCACUUUGAACGAUUCUAGAAAUAGCCUUGAAACUUGUCGGUGAUAUGGGACCGGGAGUAUUGCGCCCGGAGGCUUGAGGCAGAUGGAAUCGCCCACGUGGCCUGGCACCUUCGGGGACGUCGGGCCCGAGGGUGAGGUGUCCGCCCUCCUCCUGAUCUCCCCGAGGGGGGGUCGGGUUGCUCCUGCCCCGGCCCCGAGGGCCGAGGUGCCCCGACCCCUUGUGGGGUUUGCACUAUGUACAUAGGUUGGGUGAACACGGUAGGGCUCACCUAACCGCAUUUAUUGCGGUCUGGUCAAGCGUGUCACGCUGCAUGCAGCGCAAUGCAGCGCGCUCUUUUAUCCGGUCUGUGACCAGUCACAGACCGGUCAGAUCAACGGUUAGGUGGCGACUGGCGGUCUGACGCACGCCUCGCCCCGUUCCGUCAAGACGAGAGCCUCUAGGCACACGUCUCCAGCCGGAGCUAGCGUGUUACCUCUUAGAGAUGGCACGUUAGCCCUGGUUAGAUGAAUACCAGGCUUCAUCCCAACCAUUACAGGCAAGAUGCUACAAAAAGAAGGGUGAUCAUGCAGAUCGCUGAACUGACGCAUAGAGGACAAGAAUGACCGAUCUGUGACCGGCCUGACACUGGUCGCGUCAGCAACAGACAGCCACGAUCCCACGUUGCGCCUGUCUCCGCCGGGAGUGGAGGUAGGUGUGGGCUGUCCCAUCGAAGUGUCAUUCGGACGGCAACCAUACCAAUCUCCGUCCAUAAAGAGAAGAAAAGUCCAGUUUGGAAAGGGAAGGGUACAUGUGGUAUCCCCUUAAGAUAUAAAAGGAGGACCAUGCCCACAAAGAGAGGUGACUGGAUUUUCCCGGGAGAGGAGAGGGCUGGUUGAUAUUUUGUAACUUGCUCUUACACAGAUCCACCAAAAACACAGGAGUAGGGUAUUACGCUUCCCAGCGGCCCGAACCUGUAUACAUCGUCCGUGUCUCGCGUUUCUUCCUGGCACGCGAUCUUUCCACAUACAGAGAGAGCUUGAGAUCUCACCCUAAGCCCCCGGCCGAACUGGCAAAGGGGGGCCUGCGCGGUCUCCCGGUGAGGAGCCACGAGCUCCGUCAUCUGGCGCGCCAGGUAGGGGGCUCAGCGUGUGUUUUCUGAGCUCUCAUACUCUUCCGUGUGCGCCAAGUUUCCCUUGUUCAGCCUAAUGGCCGAGCAAGCAAAGGCGCACGACCUCUCUCCGAGUGUGAGCGGCGACGACGGGGAGCCAAACCCGCGCCGUCGAGCUCGUACUCCCCCACCUCCUCCACGCCAAAGUCCUAAGCGGGGGGAGGCGCUCGAGAGGGUUGAAAAACCCAUAGCAUCACCAGUCGCAGGUGAUGCAGGAGAGCGGCGAGACGGGAAGCGUCGCCUCCUCGUCUACGGUGACGGCAGCACGCCCCAGGGAGUGCUUCAGGCUGCUGGCGCGCUCCUACGUCACCCGCCUGUCGUCCCUGACCCGGAGUCUCCAGCCCAGCGAUGGCUGGACGACGUGGCCAACUUGGUCAUGACGGCACAGCAGCGCCUGGGUGCUGGUGGACGGUCCGCCACCACCAAGACCUCCGGCGCCGCCACUACCGGUUCCGUGUCGUCAAGACGGAGGGCGCGGCGAGCGGCGGCUGCUGCACGCCAUUCGGCUACCACUCCCUCGUCGGCGCCUCCGACUCGGGAGGAUCAGCAUGAAGAGCCGGAUGCCCGCCUCGACAUCGAGCGCCGACGUAGUGAUCGGCGUGCUCCCCGCGCAACGGAGGGUGCCUCUUCGUCCAGGGUGUCACCUCGACAUGGACGUGAGGACCAGCCCUCCGUGCCCCCGGUUGGUGGUGUUGGCUGUAGAGCCUUUGUGGCGAGUCUUCGGAAUGUCCGUUGGCCCCCAAGGUUCCGGCCCACCAUCACCGAGAAGUAUGAUGGGAGCGUCAACCCCACCGAGUUUCUCCAGGUCUAUACGACCGGGAUCGAGGCCGCUGGGGGAGACGACAGGGUCAUGGCGAAUUUCUUUCCCAUGGCCCUGAAGGGACAGGCGCGGGGUUGGCUAAUGAACCUGCCACCCGCGUCGGUCCACUCCUGGGAGGAUCUGUGCCAGCAGUUCACCAUGAACUUUCAAGGCACCUAUCCACGCCCAGGUGAAGAAGCGGACUUGCACGCAGUACAGCGAGGGGAUGAUGAAUCCCUUCGCUCGUACAUUCAGCGUUUCUGCCAAGUCCGCAAUACUAUACCUUGCAUCCCUGCACACGCGGUGAUCUACGCGUUCAGGGGGGGUGUGCGGCACAACCGCAUGCUCGAAAAGAUUGCCUCCAAAGAGCCCCAGACUACCGCAGAACUUUUUCAGCUCGCGGACCGAGUGGCUCGUAAGGAGGAGGCCUGGACCUGGAACCCCUCCGGUUCCGGUGUGGCAGCUUCGGCCGCCCCCGGAUCCGCCGCUCAGACAGGGCGGCGUGACAGGAGGAGGAAGAAAAGGUCGGUCCAUUCCGGCGACGAGGGUCACGUCCUCGCCGUCGAGGGCGCUCUGCGGGCCACCCGAAAGGGGAGGCCUGCGAGCGACAAAAAGAAAGAGGCUGGUACUCCCAGCAGGGAGCGCCCAGCCAGCAAGUGGUGCUCCGUCCACAACACCUCCCUCCACGAUCUCGCGGACUGUCGCGCAGUCAAAAACUUGGCUGAGCGAACGAGGAAGUGGGAGGAGGACAGGAGGCAGGAACGCCGUGAGGGCAAGUCCGCGGCAGUUCCCUCCGGUAAACGGCGAAGUGAGGCCAAACAGAAGGCCCCCGCCGUUGACAUCGAUGACGGUGAUGAUGACCUAGGUUUCCAAGAACCUGGGGCCACCAUUGCCACUGUCGACGGGGGAGCGUGUGCUCACGUUUCUCGCCGGGGUUUCAAGGCCAUGAGGCGAGAGCUUCUCGCCGCGGCCCCUACUCAUGAGGCGACGCGUCGGGCGCGGUGGUCGGAGGUGGCCCUCACCUUUGACCAGACCGACCACCCACCGUGCGUUGCCCGGGGAGGGCAGGUUGCGAUGGUGGUUUCCCCCACCAUCUGCAAUGUGAAGUUGGGGCGUGUCCUCAUAGAUGGAGGAGCGGCUCUCAACAUCCUUUCCCCCGCGGCCUUUGAUGCUAUCAAGGCCCCGGGGAUGGUGCUCCAGCCGUCUCAACCGAUCAUCGGUGUGACGCCGGGGCACACAUGGCCGUUAGGUCACAUCGACCUACCGGUCACCUUUGGUGGAUCAGCCAACUUCCGCACGGAGCGGGUGAACUUCGAUGUGGCGGAACUCAGUCUGCCCUACAACGCGGUCCUGGGGAGGCCCGCGUUGGUGAAGUUUAUGGCGGCGGUCCACUACGCCUACCUCCAGAUGAAGAUGCCGGGCCCCGGUGGCCCCAUCUCUGUCCGUGGCGACCUUAAAGUCGCGCUCGCUUGCAUGGAGCAGCGCGCGGACCACCUCGCUGCUGCGACCAAGCCCGAGGGUGGUGACGAGAGGCUUGGCACCUCCGCCCCCACCGCCCCGAGGCAGCGGAUUGCCACAUGCGACGAGGUCCCGGUCAAGGAGGUUGCCUUGGGCGACGGCCCAUCCAAGACCACACGGAUCGGUGGUCUUCUGGAUGGCAAAUAGGAAGACGCGCUCGUCUCCUUCCUGCGGGCAAACGCUGACGUCUUCGCAUGGAGACCAGCGGACAUGCCCGGGGUCCCCAGGGAGGUGAUUGAGCACCGUCUCGCCGUGCGGCCGGGCGCAAGGCCGGUCCGGCAGAAAGUGCGGCGGCAGGCCCCGGAACGUCAAGCCUUCAUCCGCGAGGAGGUGGCGAGACUUCUGGAGGCCGGAUUCAUCCGUGAAGUCAUCCAUCCGGAGUGGCUGGCGAACCCGGUGGUCGUUCCCAAGGCGAACGGCAAGCUUCGGAUGUGCAUCGACUACACCGACCUUAACAAGGCAUGUCCUAAGGAUCCUUACCCCCUGCCUCGCAUAGAUCAGAUCGUCGACUCCACUGCGGGGUGCGACCUUUUGUGUUUUCUAGAUGCAUACUCUGGUUACCAUCAGAUUCGCAUGGCUAGGGAGGAUGAGGAGAAAACUGCGUUCAUUACCCCCGUAGGAACCUAUUGUUAUACAUCAAUGCCCUUCGGGUUAAAGAAUGCAGGUCCUACUUUUCAACGUACUACUCGAAUUUCUUUGGGUAGCCAAAUAGGACGUAAUGUUGAGGCUUAUGUCGAUGACUUGGUUGUAAAAACGCGCAACCAAGAAACUUUACUUUCAGAUCUAGCGGAAACUUUUGAGAACCUCCGCUCCGCCCGCAUAAAGCUGAACCCCGAUAAGUGUGUGUUUGGUGUACCUGCGGGCAAGCUUCUCGGGUUCUUGGUCUCUGCCCGAGGCAUUGAGGCCAACCCCGAGAAGAUUCGAGCUAUCGAGCGGAUGCGCCCCCCCAGCAAACUUAGGGAUGUGCAAUGCGUCACCGGUUGCAUGGCCGCCCUAAGUCGUUUCAUAUCAAGGCUGGGAGAGAAGGCGCUACCCUUGUUUAAGCUCCUCAAGCGCUCGGGGCCGUUUACUUGGACGGAGGAAGCUGAACAUGCCCUCACUCAGUUAAAGGCAUAUCUCAGCUCUCCCCCGGUUCUAGUCGCCCCGGAGCCAAAUGAGCCCCUGCUACUUUACUUAGCGGCGACCCCCCAAGUAGUUAGUGCAGCGUUGGUUGUGGAGCGCGAUGAAGACAAUCCUCAUUUCGUGCACCCCCAUUCUGUGCUAACUUGGCCCGGGAGCGAGCGGGGAGGAGAGGCCCCCGAGUCGGACGGUGGCCUACGGCCCCUGACGACCGGAGUCGGCCCUCUGCCCGCUUGUCAGACGGUGCUAGGUGCCCCCGACCCUCAGGAGGGCCCCAAGGCCACUGCGGGAAGGCCGCACUUAACGCCCUUUGACCCCGAGGCUAACCCUGUGCUGACUCGACCCGGGAAAGAGCAGGGAGAAGAGGCCCCCGAGCCGAACGGAGGCCAGAGGCCCCUGACGACCGGAGUUGGCCCUUUGCCCGCUUGUCCGACGAUGCCAGGAGUCCCCGACCCCCAGGACGGCCCCGAGGCCACUGAGGGAAGGCCGCCCCUUUCAUCCUCCGACCCCGAGGUCAUCGGCACAGAAGACAAGUGCGCCCCGAAAGGCCACUUGAACGAAGAACGCCCCGGGGAUACGGCCCCUAGCAGAGAGGAUCGGCCCCACCGAAGGGUGCAGCGGCCUGUCUACUUUGUUAGUGAGGCCCUCCGGGACGCUAAGACCCGAUACCCUCAGGCCCAGAAGAUGCUUUACGCUAUUCUGAUGGCCUCGAGGAAACUGCGCCAUUAUUUUCAGGCACAUAGGGUCACUGUGGUUACGUCUUACCCCCUCGGUCAAAUCUUGCAUAAUCGAGAGGGUACAGGACGGGUGGUAAAAUGGGCAAUCGAGCUUUCUGAAUUCGAUCUGCGCUUUGAACCACGCCACGCUAUCAAGAGCCAGGCCCUCGCCGAUUUUGUGGCAGAGUGGACCCCGGCUCCAGAGACCGUCUCAAUCCCCGAGGCCAGCACGAACCCCUCGCAGCUGCCUCACACCACCCACUGGGUGAUGCAGUUCGAUGGUUCUCUGUCCCUCCAGGGUGCCGGUGCGGGGGUCACGUUGACCUCCCCGACCGGAGACGUCCUUAGAUAUCUGGUCCGCCUCGACUUUCGAGCGACCAAUAAUAUGGCAGAGUACGAGGGACUCCUUGCCGGACUCAGGGUGGCAGCCGGACUGGGGAUCCGCCGUCUCCUGGUGUUAGGCGAUUCCCAGCUGGUCGUUAACCAGGUCUGUAAGGAGUACCGGUGCUCUGACCCGCAAAUGGACGCCUAUGUACGCCAAGUGCGGCGUAUGGAGCGCCAUUUUGACGGGAUAGAGCUUCGGCAUGUGCCCAGACGGGAUAACAUGAUAGCCGACGAACUCUCACGGCUCGCGUCCUCGCGAGCCCAGACCCCACCGGGCGCCUUUGAAGAAAGGCUUACCCAGCCGUCGGCGCGACCCGACCCCUUAGGGGAGACGGAUGCGCCUGACCGGCCCCCGAGGCCCGUCGGAGUCCAGGCCUCGGGACCCGAAGGGAGCGCUCCAAGCUCCCUUAGAUUGAUUGCUUGGAUCUCUGAGAUCCAAACAUACCUCACAGAUAAGACUCUACCUGAGGACCGCGAAGGGAGUGAACGCGUACAACGCAUUUCCAAACGCUAUGUGCUGGUAGAAGGGACCCUCUAUCGGCGCGCGGCUAACGGAAUCCUCCUGAAGUGCAUUCCUCAGGAACAAGGCGUUGAGCUUCUUGCUGACAUCCAUGAGGGCGAGUGCGGAGCCCAUUCCGCCUCGCGCACCCUGGUUGGCAAGGCCUUUCGUCAAGGAUUUUAUUGGCCGACAGCUCUCAAUGAUGCAGUCGAUCUGGUCCGGCGAUGCAGAGCGUGUCAGUUCCACGCCAAGCAAAUCCAUCAGCCGGCCCAGGCCCUGCAGAUCAUACCACUGUCAUGGCCAUUUGCUGUCUGGGGGCUUGAUAUCCUGGGACCGUUCAAACGGGCCCCGGGCGGGUUUGAGUAUCUGUAUGUUGCGAUCGACAAGUUCACUAAGUGGCCCGAGGCUUAUCCGGUUGUCAAGAUCGAUAAGCACUCUGCUCUUAAAUUCAUUAAGGGCAUCACGGCCCGUUUUGGAGUGCCUAACCGUAUUAUUACGGAUAAUGGCACCCAAUUCACUAGUGAACUCUUCGGCGACUACUGCGAAGACAUGGGCAUCAAGCUCUGCUUCGCCUCACCUGCCCACCCCAGAAGCAAUGGCCAAGUGGAGCGCGCCAAUGCAGAAAUCCUCAAAGGCCUUAAAACCAAGACCUUCAAUAUUCUCAAGAAGCACGGCGAUUCAUGGAUCGAGGAGUUGCCAGCGGUGCUCUGGGCAAACCGAACCACACCAAGCCGAGCGACCGGGGAAACGCCUUUCUUCCUCGUCUACGGCGCAGAAGCGGUUCUCCCAUCCGAGCUCACCCUGAGGUCUCCUCGGGCCACCAUGUACUGCGAGGCUGAUCAAGAUCAGCUUCGUAGAGAUGACCUCGACUACUUGGAAGAGCGAAGGCGGCGCGCGGCCCUCCGAGCCGCGCGCUACCAGCAGAGCCUGCGGCGCUACCAUCAGCGCCACGUCCGGGCCCGAUCACUCUGCGUCGACGACCUCGUCCUACGCCGCGUCCAAACGCGUGCUGGACUGAGCAAGCUCUCACCAAUGUGGGAGGGUCCGUAUCGAGUGAUCGGCGUCCCCCGGCCGGGCUCCGUACGGCUGGCCACGGGCGACGGCACUGAGCUGCCAAACCCGUGGAACAUCGAACACCUUCGUCGCUUCUACCCCUGAGGGGGGGGUCGGGUGUCAGGUUUCGGGCUCGGGCUAACCCCGCACCCCCCUCGGGUGUGCAGGGUUAGCCGGGGGCUACCACACAUGCACAGCCUUACUUUUCUUAUUUCAGCAUUUCAAUAAAAGCAGUUUCAAUUUCCUAAAGGUUGUGUAUGUGCCGUUUUUCCUUCUGAAGAAUCUUAACUUGAAAUAAGGUCACUUGUGCUCAACCUUGCCCUCGGGGGCUCGGUUCGGUCAGCUAAAAUCGCCAAGCGGGGCCCAGAACCGAGCCGUGCCCCGGGGCGUGGUGAACUCCGGGGGGGAAUCGGCAAAAACCCACAAUCGGGUCACCCAUAACCCUCGGUCACCAUGUUCCCGGCCUGGCCAGUCUCGACAUGUGGAUCUCCCCAGGCACUAGCCCCGACCCGAGCCAUUUGAGGAUCGGGACUUGAGCACGAGCCCUUAAAUCAAGCUAAAAUGCAAAAGGACCACGGCACAAAUCACCCUCAACUCAUAUGCAUAGCAAAAUAAAGUUAACAUAGAAAUUUUUCAUCAUUUUUGAUUGCAGAUUAAGUUGAUCUAUACAAAAAGAAGAAAGAAAAAGAAAAAAUUGGAGAUUGGCGGGGGCCUGGGGGCUCAUUCCAAUGCGCCCGGGUCGCCGGCCUCGUCGCCACCGUCGUCCUCACCGCUGGCGUCGCCCUCCUCGUCGGAGCUGGGGGCGAACGCGAGCCGAGGGGCCGACCCCUCGAAGCUUUGGACGAUGUGGUUGGCGGCAUCCCGGACCCGCGCGCGCGCAUCGUCCUCGGUCCCGGGAGGGAACUCCUCCAGCGCCAUCCAUGGGGAGAAGCCGGGGUCCCUGGCCUGGUAACUCGCUAACACGAGUUCCACCGCUCCUUGGGCGAGGUCCCUCGAGGAUGACUUGAUGGUCUUCUCGAGCUCCUCGGGGAGUUGUUGGACAGCCCAGGCCAUCCUCCUAAGGUGCGGGGCGAGGCCUUCCAGAUUGGUGGAGCGCGAAAUUGUCUGGCCUUUCCAGAGGCCCGCUUCCCGACCGGCGCGAUCCAGCCGGGAGACUGCAUCCCAAAGCAUGCCGGGCCCUAUCUCACCCGACAAGCGGAGGGCCUCGGCUUCCCCGGUGGAUGAGUCCAGGGCGCGCUGCAUGUCCGCGACGGUGUGUUCGGCAGCUGCGAGGCGGGCGACUAAGUCGCUUUCGCCCGUAGCCGCCCCGCCGCUGCGCUCCUUCGCGUCCAGCUCCUUUUCUCGCGCCUCGAGGUUAGCAGCCCGCUGCUCCAGCGCGGCUCUCUCGGCGCGGACGCAUUCCAGAUUGCGGCGCGCCUGCUCCUCCUGCGCUGCCUCGCGGAGGGACAGGCUGUCCGCCAGCCGUUGUGUCGCGGCCUCGGACUCCUCAAGAGCUCGCUCCCGCUCAGCAAGCGCGUCCUCGCGGAGCCGGAGCGCGGACUCCUCUUCGGCGCAGGCGGCCUCGUGCGCCGCCAGCGUCGCCUCCCGGAUAGCGGCGGCGGCCUCGCGGUCCGCCAAGCUGGUCUCCACGGCGCCGGCAUGAUCUUCCAGCGCCAUGGCACGGGCUUCAAGGGCCUCUUCGCGCCGCCGGGACGCCGCUUCAGCCUCCGUUGCUCGCUGCUCUCGGGCAGCGGCGGCGUCAAGGACCCCCUGGGCGGCGUCGAGCUUUUUCUUUAGCUCCGCCUCCCAGCUCCCGUGUUGAAGGCGGAGGGAGUCCUGCGCCUCAAUCAUCGCGGUGGUGGCGAUGAGGGCGGCCUCUCGCUCCUCCUCCACCUCUCGGGCGAUCUCCGCCAGCGCCGCCUUGCGGGCUUCAAGCUCCGAGAUGUGGCGGCGGUGAGCCUUACGGCCCACCUCCACCAUGGCGUCCACCGAGCGCCGCCCCUCCUCGACGCGCGCCCAUGCGGCCUCGAGCUCCGCUCGUUCCGCUCGCAAGGCCUCCACCUGGGCGCUGAAUCCAUCUAGCACCGCGGUGUUUGCGGCGGCCAAGGCUUGCAGAAGGGGCUCGGCACUCAGCGGGGCGGCAGAAGACGAGGAGAAGAGCCGCCUUGGAGAAAAUGCGACGCGGCUCGGCCCGCCAGAAGACGCACUGAGCUCGGGGAUGUCCCCCGGACCCGUUUGGUCCUGGGCGUCGCCCGAGGGAGCGGGCCCAGGCGAUGCGCCCGCGGCCUUGUCGCAAGCCGCCCCGGAGGUUGUCGCCUGAGCGUCACCCGAGGGAGUGGGCCCGAGCGACGCGCCGGCGGUCUUGUCGUGAACCGCCUCGGAAGACGCCAUCGCCUCAGCCUGGCGAGCCCGGGCGGUUUCCUCCCGAGUGGCUUCUUCAGCCUGACGAGCCCGGGCGGCCUCCUCCCGAGCAGCUUCUUCGGCUUGGCGAGCCCGGGCGGCCUCCUCCCGAGCGGUAUCCUCCGCCUGCCGAACCCGAGCGGCCUCCCGGGCGGCCUCUUCAGCUUCCCGAAGGCGAUCUGCGGCCUCUCGCCGGUCAGAUUCUCGCCUCCGUUCCUCUGCGGCCGCCGGAUCUUCGGCCUCGGAUUGGCCGGACUUGGGAUGGCGGGAGGAACGCGACGGGACAUCGCUGAAGCAGAAGAAAAAACCGGAAGACAAACAAGAUGGAUAAGAGAAAACUUACUGAUUGGGAUAAAGGGAAGAUGGUUGUGAAAGGCGUGAAACGAACCUGCGAGGGGGUCGGUUGAACGACCACCUUGGAGGGGAAAUCAGGUUUCCCCGGGAUGGUUCCGUCUCCCCCGUCUUGCGGAGCCGCUUCUUCUUGCGCUCCGUCUCGGGCUGUGAUGUCGGCGCGGCCCCCUCCGGGCGCCUGCGGCUGGCACGCACCGCCCCGUCCCCUCGGGGAGGAGAUGGGGGAGGUGUUCCUCCCUGUUUCCUCUUCCCCCGGGCGUCGGCAGGGCGGUUGCUCCCCGAGCCCCCGUCGCGGGGCCCAGAAGCACGGCCCCCUCCUGAGGUUGAUUCUUCCUGGCGGCUCCCGCCGGCGCCGUCGUGGCCCUUAGGAGCCACCUCCUC
rnacentral:lncRNA from 1 species